ensembl:lncRNA
UUGAUAUAUACUUUAUUAUGCACAAGAGACUAAGAUGACAUGACACUGUGGUUAUCAAAACUGUACAACUAUGCAUUUCCACAAGUCUCUGAAAUACUGAAUGUAAUAUGAAAUACAAAUGGGGUGUUCAGACUGGCCACAGGAAUUAGCAAGUAAUAUUUCUCCCAUUCUUUGAUUUAAAAAACAUCUGGCAUUUGGAUCCUACAGAAAUGUACUUAUUGAAUUCAAACAUGAGAAUAUUGUGUUUAAAAAUGGUAGGAACAUGGCAGCAAAGAUCUGAUAACGCAAUGAUCAUCCAUACAAAUGACAAACAACAACAGGGCACAACAGUCACCUCACACGAAGGGCUGUCAGCACAACCAACAGUACAGUCUUCUUGUGAAGCAUGAGGUAGAUAUGCGUAACAGAAGGAACAGUACAUACAGGAGAAAAAUGGUUACAAAAGGGCAGGGGGAAGGUUACAAUCAUCAGCAUCUACAAACAUUUCGCAAAAUCCAUUUCCAUGUGGAAAAUGCUACAAAAAUAGCCUAACACAGAAAGAUGUGACUUCUCAAAACAUGAAUAUAGUAAUGUCCAAAUCCAAAUGCUGUAAAAGGUUAGAGUUAGUGAUUAGACGACGCAUGACACAACGAGCAGUCUACUUUGGAGUUUAAGUAUGCUACCAAUAGCUUUUACAGACAAAAGGUGUCCCUUUUAAGCCCAAUCCUCCCAUUCCUAUAUAAGAAGUUCCUUCGCAGUCAAUUCCGCCACGCUGAAGUUUACCCCCGAGCCCGUCCCCCUGAAGCCCUGCUUUAAAGCCUCCGCUGGGGCAGGAUCACCUCGCUGCCCUUCCAGCGUGGCGAGACCAGGUCUGACAGAGGUGGGAGCCAGCGGCUUUGCAAUUACACAUUCACCACACACAGAAACUUGCUGUAGAGACAAAUGGCUGCAAUAAAAGUAGAGCUUAUAGGUGGAUCAGUACUCUGAACCGCAGGCAGCUACCAGCUGCUGGGAAGUACUAUCCAUUUUUGUUAUAAAGCUAUUAACUGGGAAUGCCCGGGUUUGGUUCUCUCUCUCUCUCUUCAUUGAAGCAGAAAUGGCUGUUCCAUCUGCUAAUUACACAUGGUUUUGGUAACCUCCAAUAGACAAUUAAUUCAGUUUGAUUAAAAUGUCUGAAUUAAACAGCUGAGUACACCAAGUUCAGUUAAUUUAAAUUGUAUUUCAAAUAGAAGGUAACAAAUUGAAUCUUUGAUCCUUAUAUAUUUUUGGUUUAUCCAACGGUAAAUAUAAAUCUGUAAAUUAUUUUAAAAUUAGAGUAAAUUUUUAAUAAAAAACAUUAAUAAUGCAGCAUGUUUCUCUCAAAAAUAUACAAUUAUCUAUUUUACAUAAAAGUUUUCAACCUGUCCAUCCCAACAACCAAAUCCAAUACUUCCUAUGAGAAACUACUUAAUAAAAUAUCUGAGGGAGGAAAGGGUUAAAACAGAGAAAAGAAUUUACAAGAUAUAUAAAUUUCACAGUAAUUGAAAUUAAACAUUUCAUAUAGAGUAACUUACAUUUAUCUAAAACAUUUAAAUAUCUUUAUACAGAAAUUUAAUGUAGUAAAAUAUAGCUAUGAUUGAACUUAAAGACUCUAGUCUUCUUUGAAGACAUCUUUAAAGACUUUACACAUAGAAUAUGCUUAUACAAUACAUUCUGCUGAAGGUUAGGCAAAGCGCUUUCUUCUCAACCACACAGGAGGCACAUUCAUCCUCCCAACACC